CACACCUUCGAAAGAGCAGCGAAGGUGUCCUAAGUUGAGCUUCAGUGAGGACAGAAAUCUCACGUUGAGGAUAAGGCCCAAAAGCUCAAUUUACUGUGCCUUUUUGUACUAGGAUCAGUUACGAAAGUAAGGCCUAACGAUCCCUAAAUAGCCUCAGGUGCGUGAGGAUUGGGGUGACAGACAAGUUACCUCCGGGACAACUGGCUUGUGGCUGCUAAGAGAUCAAAUCAACGCAGCUUUUUGAUUCUUCGAUGUCGGCUCUUCCUAUCCUAGUGAUGUACAAGUUGCUAAGGGUCGGAUUGUUCACCCGUAUUAGGGAUCGUGAGCUGGGUUUAGACCGUCGUGAGCCAGGUUUGUUUUAUCCUACUGGAUAUAGCAUCAUGAUAGUAGAUUGAUUUAGUACGAGAGGAACUGUUGAUUAUGGCCUCUGGUUAGCGAUUAUCGGAAACGGUAUGUCGCGCAGCUACGCCGUCUGGGAUAAUGGCUGAAAGCCUCUUAAGCCAGAAGCCCAUCUAGAAAGUGAUGCACGUGAUGUUGGACCGAUACGAAUAAUCAUACUCAAAAGGUCCGCUUCAUAGGUAACCCAAUGUAGAAGACAUUGUGUGAACGAAGGUACUGUAAGCAGUGGAGUGGCAUUACGUCCACGACCUGUUGAGGUUCAGCUUCGCUUCUAGGUUUCC
rnacentral:ncRNA from 1 species